GGAUAGUUGAGGAUUUUUUUUGGUUUUUGGUAAUGUGAGUUUAUUUUUGAGUUUUUAAAUGUUUU
rnacentral:tRNA from 1 species